AUAGCUUCUCUGUCUUUUGGCUAAGAUCUGAUAAGGGGCGGUUUCUGUUCUUAUUGCUUUAGUAUCUGUUAUGUCCUCUAUCCGAGAACAGUAUAUUAAUAAGUGGAUUUUUGGUCAAAGAAAUGGAAUGGGAUUGUCUCUGUCCAUUAUACUCAUUGUAGUACCUUCAAGAAUGAUGCAUCCUUC
rnacentral:snRNA from 1 species